CGCAAUCCUUCUUCCGUUAGCUCGUAGUAGCGGAGCGAAAAUGGCGUAGAACGUAGGGUGUUCGGGAGAACGGGACGACAGGACCUUCUUCUCUCCUCGUUUGCGGUAACCGGGGAAAGAAGAGGGUCCAGAACUUUAUUUCUUCGCCGCUGUGGUUUCUCUCAGUAAGAUAAAUCAGACAGUCGUUCGUUUGGGAGUCCUAAAUGUGUCGCCGUAGCGGAAGAAACCCCCUCUCCUCCCCACGGCUUUUGUUUACCAUUGUGUGCAACUGCAGCUCAGACCACAGAGGAAAUAUCUCUGCAUCCUUUCGGUCCAACUCGCACCAAGGAAUAAACCGUCAUUUAAUGGAGUCAUGAAACCUCGGCAAGUGAUAUUGCUUUUCAAAUUAAACCCAGCACCACCAACAUGUCACAUCCGCCACCACCAAGACAUUUGGAGGUAAACGGCCACUAUCAAGAUGACCUCAUUUGGGCAUGUGGGACACCGGUGCCCUCCUUCCUGCUGGGACAUUAGCCACCUCUCCUCCAAAGCAUCCCACGGAUCAUCAGUGCACACCAUGUGCCGAAAUUUUGGGCGGUCGGACUUGCAUGAUGCACACUCUGCUUAUGUCUACAUGUAGCCUAGCAUUAUUUUGUCUGCCAGAAAGUCCUUUAGAAAUACGUGUGAGAUUCUCUUCAGGCUGCAUGUAAACAUAGUCUCUACUUCCCAAAUAGUAAGAAAGGAAAAACCUACUUUCACCACAGUUACACAAAACAGUUUGAUAAAGAACAAAGUACCUGCUCCCAAUUUUCUGGGAAACAUAGCAAAAGACACAAGAUACUGUAGCAAAGAUCAAGGCCUGUGAUUUUCAUUAGACUCAUUGGGUGUGUUAAUGUUUAGUUUUUUUGCUCUACCUCAUUGCCAUGGGAAGUCCAACAGGAUGGACGAGGAGAGUGGUGAAUUAGCUAAAAGGCUGUCAAGUGCCACAGAAAGUUGUAUAAUGUUGGAUGAUUAGUUUUGUUUCUGGGGGUCAAAAAGUGAGGUUGGGUGUAAAUGGGAGAAGACUGAGCAGCACACAAGCACACGAUGCACACUGUCACUCAUUUUGGGUACAAAAAAAACCACUGAACCACUCAAACUGUGGUCUCCUAUGCAUCUGUUUUGCAUUGUAUUGUGCUCUCCUUUGUCAGGUCGGCAGGUGUUUCUUUACAUAUAGCACAGAGAUAAAAUUGGGAAGUUUUCCUUUUAAUGUCGAGUCCUUUAGAUAGAAAUCUGGCAACUUGUAUUAUUUCAAAUUUGUAUCCUGAAGCAUUCUGAUUCAGUUUUCCUUCGUCUGGUCUCUUUCACUUUAACAUGUUUUUAUUUAGUUUUUUCCCAUGUAAAUUGCUGGGAUUGUUUUUCCCUCCUGCAUGUAGGACGUGUAUAAUGGGACGUUCAGGUUGAGAUAGAUUUUCAGUUUUGAUUUCUUUUAAGGAAUUGUGAGAAGACACAAUUAGAUCAAAAGUAUCUGCUUUAUCAAAUAUGCUUUAUCUCACCCAAAAGAAACCUGGUCUCAUUUUUCUUUUUCUUUAUUUUUUUUAUUUUAACAGAAGUAUAAUGCAGUCACUUGAGGAAGAAAAUGCCAGUUUCCCCCUGAAUUACGCAGGUAAUUAUCUCAGAUUUCAGAGAAACCCAUUUCAUUUACAAAAGAAAAUGCUUUUUUUAGGAUUAGUGAAAUUACUGAAAAUCCUAGAAGAAGCUUUACAUUUAAUUUAGCGAUCCACCUAAUGGAAUCAAACAAAGUCCUGCUUGUUUAUUUUAAUCUGUAGUUUUUUCUUUAGGUAGACAGCUCUUGGUCUGUCGGACAUUAUGGUGUUUCUUUAGGACUAGCCGUACAAAGAAAUUCUUCGCAACUCAGUUGAUGUAUGAUGCAUCUAAACUGCAUUCAGACAUGUAUUUGAAAGCAUAAACAAGUAGCAAAGAGUGAGGCUGGUCAGAGCUUCUCAUGAUAAUGUAAUCUAACAAAAUGCAUAAUUGUUGCUCAAGUGAAUGCAUGCUGCUUCUGUACAUUUUCAGUUUCUUUUGUUCACUUUUGUGAUUUUUACAAAGGAGAAAAAUCACAUUUUACCGGGAUUUGUGCAAUAUUUGAUCCUAACUGUCAUGUUGUUGACCAAACUGUAUAUUGUAUAAACAAGUGACAAGUUGUUUGAAAGCAACAAAAUCACCAAUGUCUUCCAUUAAGAUAUGUAUAGACUCAUGUGCAUUAGCUUAUUUAGCGGGACUGUGGUGCCAACAUUAUAGUAGCCGUGCAUGACCAGUAGUGAUGCUUGCUUCAUGAGGAAUAGUGAAAUCGAUUUUUAGGCUAAGCUGGAGCGCCAAACUUUGGAAACCAUUUCAGUGAAGUUGAAGGGUGGUAGACUUCGGCACAUUUAAAUACACUGCAUAAAGACACAGCUUUACUCUAAACUCUACUGCAAAAUCUCAUUUUCAUCACAUGACUAGUUUGUGCAAUCGAAAUA